rnacentral:rRNA from 1 species
UGCCAUCGGAUGUGCCCAGAUGGGAUUAGCUAGUAGGUGGGGUAACGGCUCACCUAGGCGACGAUCCCUAGCUGGUCUGAGAGGAUGACCAGCCACACUGGAACUGAGACACGGUCCAGACUCCUACGGGAGGCAGCAGUGGGGAAUAUUGCACAAUGGGCGCAAGCCUGAUGCAGCCAUGCCGCGUGUAUGAAGAAGGCCUUCGGGUUGUAAAGUACUUUCAGCGGGGAGGAA